GAUGAACGCUGGCGGCGUGCCUAACACAUGCAAGUCGAACGGAGUCCAGCCUUUAAGACCUUCGGGUCAAAGAGGGGAAGACUGAGUGGCGGACGGGUGAGUAACACGUGGGCAACCUGGCUCAUAGAGGGGGAUAACAGAGAGAAAUUUCUGCUAAUACCGCAUAAGCACACACUGCCGCAUGGCAGAGGGUGAAAAGAGAAUCGCUAUGAGAUGGACCCGCGUCUGAUUAGCCAGUUGGCAGGGUAAGAGCCUACCAAAGCGACGAUCAGUAGCCGAGCUGAGAGGAUGAACGGCCACAUUGGGACUGAGACACGGCCCAAACUCCUACGGGAGGCAGCAGUGGGGGAUAUUGCACAAUGGGGGGAACGCUGAUGCAGCGACGCCGCGUGAGUGAAGAAGUAUUUCGGUAUGUAAAGCUCUAUCAGCAGGGAAGAUAAUGACGGUACCUGAAGAAGAAGCCCCGGCUAACUACGUG
rnacentral:rRNA from 1 species